GCCGCAAGGCUAACAAGGCAUUUGGGGGGCGGCUUUUUUUGCCGCCCCCUGGAAAAUGCCGCCCAAGGCAAAUGCCUUGUUUGCCUCGCAGUGUUA